GAUGAACGCUGGCGGCGUGCCUAAUACAUGCAAGUCGAGCGAACAGACGAGGAGCUUGCUCCUCUGACGUUAGCGGCGGGCGGGUGAGUAACACGUGGAUAACCUACCUAUAAGACUGGGAUAACUUCGGGAAACCGGAGCUAAUACCGGAUAAUAUAUUGAACCGCAUGGUUCAAUAGUGAAAGACGGUUUUGCUGUCACUUAUAGAUUGAUCCGCGCCGCAUUAGCUAGUUGGUAAGGUAACGGCUUACCAAGGCAACGAUGCGUAGCCGACCUGAGAGGGUGAUCCGCCACACUGGAACUGAGACACGGUCCAGACUCCUACGGGAGGCAGCAGUAGGGACUCUUCCGCAAUGGGCGAAAGCCUGACGGAGCAACGCCGCGUGAGUGAUGAAGGUCUUCGGAUCGUAAAACUCUGUUAUUAGGGAAGAACAAAUGUGUAAGUAACUAUGCACGUCUUGACGGUACCUAAUCAGAAAGCCACGGCUAACUACGUG
rnacentral:rRNA from 1 species